ensembl:lncRNA
UCUUCCGGAGUUCUUCCAACAAUGGACAGAGUAAAAUUGAACCAGAAAACUUCCAGUGUUGGUGAAAAUAAUCGGAGUUAACAGAGGUUUUACUCUGUCAGUGUUAUUGACUCUCUCAGGCCCUGAUUCAACACUGAUUAGAGCAAGAUACCUUCCAGAGUAUCACAAAAAAUACUCUGGAGAGCCCCGCCCACCAACUUUCCCGGUCAAACUGAGAAUGUGGAUUCUGGCAUCGCCAUCUUCCUCGCAUCGAAAUACUGUGAUACCAUCAUGUUGAUCAAAACAGUCCUGUCAUCCAGCACCAACCAAGAUCUUUGCCACUGUGAUAAGAUGUGAGCUUUACAUGUUUUAGGUUUACUUUUGAU